GCCUGCCUGGCUCAGUCAGUAGAGCACGAGACUCUUGAUCUUGGGAUCGUGAGUUCAAAGCCCUGUGUUGGGUG
rnacentral:tRNA from 1 species